UCUGAGUAAUCACCGGUUCUAACAGCAUGAGACUAUGAAAUCCAAUGCUCUGGCACACGGGCUAAAAAAUUUGCUCGGGAAACAACGGCCUCAAACAUGGGUUCCGUCUUUUGGGUUGGGUUUUUAAUUUAUCCUUGCAUGGGAGGUUUUUUCUUCUCUCAGUAAUAUUACUCCUGAAAUUUGAAACGUCUCAUGUUCAAUGUUCCAAUAUUUUUUUAUCUUUAAAAAAAACUUAGAAACCCAGAAGCAUACGUUAUCGUCACUCGUAGACUAUUAUAAAUCAAGUCAUUCUAUUAUGGUUGAUGAAAUGCAAGUCAGGGACAGGGUUUGCAGAAAAAGACAAAAUGAUGAGCAUAUGUUAAUUAUUAUCCCAUUUGAGGAUGAAUAGCUCUGAGUUUUGUUGUGCCAUCUUCCCUUUUGUGCUUCUUGUUUAUUCCGAGCUGUUUUUGUCUAGCUAAGGGACUUUUUAUCUUUGUUUGGGUUGCAUGCCAGCAUUCUAUUGCUGUGAUUCUGCUGUCUUUCUGGUACUAUUGCAAUGUGCGGGAUUCAGUCGACAACCAGUGGAACGGUGCUUCAGUGGCUGCUAUGUCGGUUUGGAUCAUGGGCAAAGGUGAGUUGCGGGUUGGGCUUUCAUUUUUCUAUUUUUUUUUUUUUUUUCAAAUUGGGUUGGCUUGUGGAUUGGAUAUGGGUUGUGAAUUGUGGUUGGUUUGAUUAGUUUUAUUGGAUCUUUAGCCAGAUUACUUUUUGUACAAGCAUUAC
rnacentral:lncRNA from 1 species